CAUUAGAUGACUGAAAGCAAGUAAUGGUCUCUUAAACCACAUAUAGUAAAUUAGCAACUACUUCUAAUGA
rnacentral:tRNA from 2 species